rnacentral:rRNA from 1 species
UUGGAAGUUGGAAGUUAGAGGUUAGAGGCUGGAUUAAAAGGAAUUCGCCUAAAGAAAGUCCAACCUCCAACCUCCAAUUUCCAACCUCUAA